UUCCCCUUCAGCUCUUCUCAUCGCCUCCCCUGAAGAGAUUGGGUUUCAUCUGUUAAUCGAUCCGUUAAUCGAUAUUCAAGAUCAGUUUCAAUCUGUUAAGAGAUUAGAGUCUUAUGAAAGUUUCGAUCUGUGUAAUUUUUUUUCUAUUUAGGGUUAAAUCGUCUGUUUUUUUUCACCACCUUUGGGGUGAAGCUCAAGAUUGCUGUUGUUAAUUGAGUUAGGGUUUUAUCUUGAUGGUUCUGGUGAUGUUGGAGAAGAAGAUGAUGAUGAUUUAAGCUGUGGUUACAAGAAUCAGUAAAGGAAGAAAUGGGAAUGUUUCCAUCUGCUAGUCGUGGCUUCACGAAGAAGAAGAAAGGGGUUACUGCUGUAAUUGGAGUUGAUUUCACGGGUUUGGUUCAGAUUUGAUGGUUGAUUUGAGUUGAAAUCAAAUCGCGGUGCUGAACAUGGAUGAAGAAAUGAGCUGCUAAUGGUUUUGUUGGUGCCGAAUUGAAGAAAACUGAGUUGUCGCUUUUGCUGUCUAGGGAAAAGGUGUGUUAGGGCAUUGGGUUAUGAAAGUUUUGAGAUACAGAGAUAUAAAGCAAAGAAGGAUCAGUUGGGUUAUGAAUUGAAUUUGCAAGGAUUAAAGAGGAGAUGGAAAAGGUGUUGCUGCUAGUGAUAGUAAGAACUGGUGGUGAUGUUCUAGAUAACUGAAAUUGGUGUUGCAGGCAGAAGUCUUCAAAGGUAACUAAACAAUCCAAGAAUAAGAAUCCUAGAGGUAGAGCUCACAGGAGGAUGUUCUGUUGUUGCUGCCUGAUGGCCAAAUGCCUAGUGACAAGACAGUCGGCAUAGGAGAUGAUGCAUUCAACACUUUUUUCAGUGCUGGAAAGUUUUGGGGAGAGAAGGCCGAGCUUCGGAGACAAGACUGUUGUUGGUUUAGACUUCCAUCUCUAAGAUUUUUAUUUUGUGACAAUAGGCUCUCAAGUAUAGAAAGUAUUGGGCAGAGAGAGCCGAGCUUUGGAGAUUCGAAGAUGACAUUACUGCAGAAAGCACAGGUUUGUGAUCAUUUUGGUGUUUGCGACUGCAGAUUUCCAUUUUAUUUUUUACACCAUUCUUUCGAAGGUUAUACUGCAACUUCACCUGGUACCGCAAGAAUUUUUCACAUGCAAGCUAAUUGAACAUCAUUGGUUUAGAGCUGUGGUUAGAUAAAUAUUUACUCGUUGGUCUACUAAUACUGGAAUAUGUAUCAAAGUAUUGCACGGCUAGCUGUUUUCUCUUGCAUGCCAAGAACAUUGUCAAGUAGCGUGGCAUUGACACAGGUUCUGACUGAAGAUGAGCAAAGAUCUUGGAGGAUGCACUUAUUACACUUAACAUACUACUAAACUGAAGCUUGCAGGUUAACAAGGGCGACUCCUAUAUGGCACCAAGGUGAUGCAGAAUCUUCCCAUAGAGCACCAAACAUUGUUGUUUAGUGCAACUAUGCCUGUAGAAAUUGAAGCCCUUGCACAGGAGUACCUAACUGAUCCAGUGCAAGUAAAGGUUGGAAAAGUAAGUAGCCCUACAACAAAUGUGUCUCAAAUGCUGCAGAAGGUUCCUGAGAAUGAGAAGAUAGCCCUACAGCCCCACUGUUGUUUAUAUGCUUAUGAUUCAGAGAGUGAAAUGACGACAGCUCUUUAUGGAUUGGAGUUAUGAACUUAAAGCAAGGGAUGAAGGGGCUGAUUUGUCAUCUGAGAUUAUUAAUUGGAUGAUUCUCUGCUGCAACAAGUUUGGAGCAAAAAGGUUGGAGAACAAGGCAGACAUUAGGUUGCAGUAAGUUUCUAUGUACAUUCUAAGUUAGAUGAAUUUGUGAACAUAGGAAUUUCUAUGAACUGAUACUUAGUGUAUAUCCGUUAGUAUUUGAUACUUAACAAAUAAAAUUUGUACUUAGAAAAAUUUAAGUUCUUUUUUGUAUGAAUCCUUUGUAUGAAUCCAUUUGAUUGUGAUAAGAAUUAAUUGAA